AUCGCACGAAUGCGAGCGGUAGGCGUCUC
rnacentral:sRNA from 1 species